GAUGAACGCUGACAGAAUGCUUAACACAUGCAAGUCUUUGGCGAAGCUGUGCUUGCACAGCCUAGCCAAGGCGGACGGGUGAGUAACGCGUAAGGAACUUGCCCUGCAGUCAGGGAUAACAGACGGAAACGACUGAUAAGACCUGGUAAAGUCAGGCGGACUCAUGUCCAGCCUGAUGAAAAGAGAUGCUGCAGGAGAGCCUUGCGUCCUAUUAGCUUGUUGGUGGGGUAACGGCCCACCAAGGCGAUGAUAGGUAGCCGGCCUGAGAGGGUGGACGGCCACAAGGGGACGGAGAUACGGCCCUUACUCCUACGGGAGGCAGCAGUGGGGAAUAUUGGAUAAUGGGGGCAACCCUGAUCCAGCAAUUCUGUGUGCACGAUGAAGGUUUUCGGAUUGUAAAGUGCUUUCAGCAGGGAAGAAAAAAAUGACGGUACCUGCAGAAGAAGCGACGGCUAAAUACGUG
rnacentral:rRNA from 1 species